GCCUUCGUGGUGUAGUGGUCAGCAUGCUCGACGCGUAACCGAGAGGUCCGUGGUUCGAUUUCCGGCAAAGCCG
rnacentral:tRNA from 1 species